ACUUCUAACCAUCUUGGGCAAAACACUAACCCCAAGGGCGCAAUGAAAGUGACGAACGUCUCCGACGUUUCAAACCAAUAGGUGAAGAUCGGUCAUAACCCGGCCCGUACAAUAGAUGGGUAAGCCUUAAAAACUUCCCUCUAAUCGGGUUCGGGGUAACCACUGGUUGCCGCGCAUUACCACGGCGCUCCGGCACUGUGCCGGGGCGCACCCAGAGCGUACAGUUUGGUACCCGAAAGAUGGUGAUCUAUGCCUGGGCCGGACGAAGCCGGGGGAAACCCCGGUGGAGGUUUAGACCGAUUGCUGACGUGCAAUUCGAUCGUCCUAUUUGGGUAUAGGGGCGAAAGGACUAAUCGAACCAUCUAGUAGCUGGUUCCUUCCGAAGUUUCCCUCAGGAUAGCUGGCGCUUUGUCGCAGUUUUAUCUGGUAAAGCGAAUGAUUAGAGGCCUUGGGGACGGAAACGUCCUCAACCUAUUCUCAAACUUUAAAUUGGUAAGAAGCCCGGCUCGCUCGGUCUGGAGUCGGGCGUCUCGAAUGCGAGUGCCCAGUGGGCCACUCUUGGUAAGCAGGACUGGCGAUGCGGGAUGAACCGAACGCCGGGUUAAGGCGCCCGACGCGACGCUCAUCAGAGCCCACAAAAGGUGUUGGUUGAUCUAGACAGCAGGACGGUGGCCAUGGAAGUCGGAAUCCGCUAAGGAGUGUGUAACAACUCACCUGCCGAAUCAACCAGCCCUGAAAAUGGAUGGCGCUGGAGCGUCGGGCCUAUACCCGGCCGUCGCGACGACACGGGCCGUUCCACGGCGCUAAGUCGCGACGAGUAGGAAGGCCGCGGCGGCGGGCGUCGAAGCGUCGAGCGAGAGCUCGCGUGGAGCAGCCGUCGGUGCAGAUCUUGGUGGUAGUAGCAAAUAUUCAAAUGAGAGCUUUGAAGGUCGAAGAGGAGAAGGGUUCCAUGUGAACAGCAGUUGAACAUGGGUCAGUCGGCCCUAAGGAACAAGCGAACGCAGUUCGACGGGGGGCGUUGCUCGUCUUCGCCCCCGGUGUCCGAAAGGGAAUCUGGUUAAUAUUCCCGAGCCUCGACACGGAGAUUGGCGCUUCGGCGCCCGGUGCGGCAACGCAACCGAA
rnacentral:rRNA from 1 species